rnacentral:rRNA from 1 species
GAUGAACGCUAGCUACAGGCUUAACACAUGCAAGUCGAGGGAACGACAUCGAAAGACUUGUCUUUUGUAUGGGCGGUCGACCGGCGCACGGGUGAGUAACGCGUAUCCAACCUGCCCACCACUUGGGGAUAACCUUGCGAAAGUAAGACUAAUACCCGAUGAUAUCUCUAGACGACAUCUGAAAGGGAUUAAAGAUUAUCGGUGAUGGAUGGGGAGUGCGUCUGAUUAGCUUGUUGGCGGGGUAACGGCCCACCAAGGCAACGAUCAGUAGGGGUUCUGAGAGGAAGGUCCCCCACAUUGGAACUGAGACACGGUCCAAACUCCUACGGGAGGCAGCAGUGAGGAAUAUUGGUCAAUGGACGCAAGUCUGAACCAGCCAAGUAGCGUGCAGGAUGACGGCCCUAUGGGUUGUAAACUGCUUUUAUGCGGGGAUAAAGUGUGGGACGUGUCCCAUUUUGUAGGUACCGCAUGAAUAAGGACCGGCUAAUUCCGUGCCAGCA